rnacentral:rRNA from 1 species
GAUUAACGCUGGCGGCGUGCAUGAGACAUGCAAGUCGAACGGGUGACUCGGGCUUGCUCGAGUCACUAGUGGCGAACGGCUGAGUAACACGUAGGUGACCUGCCCCGAAGUGGGGAAUAACUGCCCGAAAGGGUGGCUAAUACCGCAUGUGGUCGCACGUUCGAUCGUGCGAGUAAAGCCGCAAGGCGCUUCGGGAGGGGCCUGCGUCCGAUUAGCUCGUUGGUGGGGUAAUGGCUCACCAAGGCGACGAUCGGUAGGUGGUCUGAGAGGACGAUCACCCAGACUGGGACUGAGACACGGCCCAGACUCCUACGGGAGGCAGCAGUCGGGAAUUUUGCUCAAUGGGCGAAAGCCUGAAGCAGCAACGCCGCGUGAGGGAUGACGGCCUUCGGGUUGUAAACCUCUUUUCUCAGGGACGAUGAUGACGGUACCUGAGGAAUAAGCCACGGCAAACUACGUGCCAGCCGCCGCGGUAAUAC